rnacentral:rRNA from 1 species
AUUGAACGCUGGCGGCAGGCCUCACACAUGCAAGUCGAACGAGUGGCGGACUGGUGAGUAAUGUCUGGGAACCUGCCUGAUGGAGGGGGAUCACUCCUGGAAACGGUAGCUAAUACCGCAUCCCCUCAGCUGUUCCCAGAUGGGAUUAGCGAGUUGGUGGGGUAACGGAUCACCAAGGCGACGAUCCCUAGCUGGUCUGAGAGGAUGACCAGAAAAAAGGGAACUGAGACACGGAACAGACUCCGACGGGAGGCAGCAGGGGGGAAGAUGGCACAAAGGGCGCAAGCAUGAUGCAGCAAGGCAGGGUGAAUGAAGAAGGCCUUCGGGUGGUAAAGUACUUUCAGCGGGGAGGCGUUACCCGCAGAAGAAGGACCGGCUAACUCCGUGCCAGAAGCGGCGGUAAUUC